CGACAAAUAUACAAAUGGCUGUAAUACGGAUGGAGAAAAGCUGGGGAGGGGGUUUAAGGAAUUUAAACUGCGCAGACGAUACUUCUUCAUUAUCACGUAGACCCGGAUAAUAUCAUUUUUAGCGCAUCCCUCAGAUGUCCAGCAGCUGUGAGUUUUUUUCCAUCAUCCCUGCAGUGGGAUGUAAAGUGAUGUCACUGAUGCUGAUGCAUCUGCAGCCAGUAGAAAUGUGCCAACAAUGCUACUAGUUUUUCAGCAGAUUCUUCCUGAUGGUGUUGUGAGAGAUGAACAGCUGGAAUAGCCAAUCAUCAUGGAGAAGAGAGGGGACACAUAGGUGGUAUGCACAGAAAGUCACGUAGGCAGGACCCCUCCUCUCUCACCCACUGACCCACUGGCUCAGUCUCAGUUAGAGGCUGUGGCUCUAGUCAUCUGUGACCAAACAGUGACAGGAAAGCAUAGACAUUUUCAGGUCUCUUUUUCUACAUAAUCUUUUAUCCUCUCAUCGGCUCUUCUCUUCUCUCCCAUCCCAUCCUAUCUUCUAUUCUUCUCAGCUCACCUGCUGUACCGUAUCGAUCAUAACAGACAUUAAUCCAACAAAUUAUUUUGAAUGCUGCUUAUGGGUUUUGUUAAUGGUGCUUGUUAAAGCAAGGAUUCUAUCCCUAACCUUAAGUAUUAAAAUAGUUAAUGUUGCUUGUUACAUGGAAUUUCUGCAAAUACCUCAAAUCACGCAGAUUGUUGCAGAUAAUUGUGCUAUUACAUUUCUUGAGCCAUAUUUAUAGCCAGGAUAUCAUAGAGACUUGGGGGUGUCCUCUUUGGGCUUAAGCCAGUAAGCAAUCAGCUAUCAACCACCCAGAACACCUUACAAACCGAAUAGCAACAACAUGACAACAACCCACAAAACCCUAGCAACCAUAUAGCAAUGCCAUGGCAACCAUCAACAAUACCUUUGCAACCGCAUAGCAACUCUUUUGAUUUGGACCAGUAUGCAACCACCUAGCAACAACCCACAAAACCUUAGCAACUGUAUAGCAACUUCUUUUACUUGGGCCAGUAAGCAACCAGAACACCCUAACAACCACACUGCAACACCCUGACAACCACCUGCAAUGCCCUAGCAACUGCAUAGCAAUUCUCUUUUUACUUGGGCCAGUAAGUAUCCACCCAGCAACCACCCUGAACCCCCUAGCGACCGCAUUGCAGUGCCCUGGCAAACAUUCACAAUACUGUUGCAAUUGCAUAGCAACUCUUUGAUUUGGACCAGUUACCAAAAACCUAGUGUGCUGAUGUGGGCGUGGCGGAGCGACGUCUGUGGAGAGCGAGGACGGGAGAGGAAGAAUGGUAAGGAUUGACACAUUUGGGAAAUUAUCUCUAACAGCUAUUCUGUGUUACAGUGAGAGCUGGAGAGGGAUAAAAAGGGAAUCCAGACCGCCGGAGGGGAGAGAGAGAGCAAUGAUCGUUGGGGUUGAAAAGCCAGGAGUGUGUG